AACUCAGAGAGCUUGUGGUUAGAUCUCCUUGAGGCACACACCUGAUAUCCCCAUCCUUCUGCAAUACCCACCAGGUAUACCCUGGUCCUUGGGCGAAGACAAUCCCACGAGUGGGUUUGCCUUGAGAAAAAUACCCUGGUGGGUAAUGCAGAAGGAUGGGGAUAUCAGGCAUGUGCCUCAAGGAGAUCUAACUUUGGGAGAAAACUAAUCUGUAAUCUAAGUUAUAUGUUGUAGGAAGACGCUGGAAGAUCAAUGACAGGUCAACUUUGCAAGGAACUGGGUAAGUACAACAGGGACUUGACCUAAGCUGGUGCUGGUGUCCAGACAUCCAAAUCCACCUGCCUGGAGUGACCACUUUGGCAGAUGAAGACUAAAUCAUCAACAGUUCUUAUUGACAUUUUCUG